rnacentral:rRNA from 1 species
AGCAGCCGCGGUAAUUCCAGCUCCAAUAGCGUAUAUUAAAGUUGUUGCAGUUAAAAAGCUCGUAGUUGAAUUUCGGGGUUAAUAAGUUGGUCAUACCUAUGGUAUGUACUGGCUUCAUUGAUUCCUACCUCUUGACGAACUGUGAUGCCAUUAAUUUGGUGUUGCAAGGAAUCAGGACUGUUACCUUGAAAAAAUUAGAGUGUUUAAAGCAGGCUUACGCUUGAAUACAUUAGCAUGGAUAAUGAAAUAGGACGUUUGAACCUAUUUGUUGGUUUCUAGGAUCGACGUAAUGAUUAAUAGGGUAUAGUUGGGGCAUUAGUAUUCAAUUGUCAGAGGUGAAAUUCUUGGAUUUAUUGAAGACUAACUACUGCGAAAGCAUUUGCAAGGAUGUUUCAUUAAUCAAGAACGAAAGUU